GAGUUUGAUCGUGGCUCAGAUUGAACGCUGGCGGCAUGCCUUACACAUGCAAGUCGAACGGCAGCAUGAUCUAGCUUGCUAGAUUGAUGGCGAGUGGCGAACGGGUGAGUAAUACAUCGGAACGUGCCCUGUAGUGGGGGAUAACUAGUCGAAAGAUUAGCUAAUACCGCAUACGACCUGAGGGUGAAAGUGGGGGACCGCAAGGCCUCAUGCUAUAGGAGCGGCCGAUGUCUGACUAGCUAGUUGGUGGGGUAAAGGCCCACCAAGGCGACGAUCAGUAGCUGGUCUGAGAGGACGAUCAGCCACACUGGGACUGAGACACGGCCCAGACUCCUACGGGAGGCAGCAGUGGGGAAUUUUGGACAAUGGGCGAAAGCCUGAUCCAGCAAAUGCCGCGUGUGUGAAGAAGGCCUCGGUGUAAGUA
rnacentral:rRNA from 1 species